GAUGAACGCUGGCGGCGUGCCUAAUACAUGCAAGUCGAGCGAACGGACGAGAAGCUUGCUUCUCUGAUGUUAGCGGCGGACGGGUGAGUAAAACGUGGAUAACCUACCUAUAAGACUGGGAUAACUUCGGGAAACCGUAGCUAAUACCGGAUAAUAUUUUGAACCGCAUGGUUCAAAAGUGAAAGACGGUCUUGCUGUCACUUAUAGAUGGAUCCGCGCUGCAUUAGCUAGUUGGUAAGGUAACGGCUUACCAAGGCAACGAUGCAUAGCCGACCUGAGAGGGUGAUCGGCCACACUGGAACUGAGACACGGUCCAGACUCCUACGGGAGGCAGCAGUAGGGAUCUUCCGCAAUGGGCGAAAGCCUGACGGAGCAACGCCGCGUGAGUGAUGAAGGUCUUCGGAUCGUAAAACUCUGUUAUUAGGGAAGAACAUAUGUGUAAGUAACUGUGCACAUCUUGACGGUACCUAAUCAGAAAGCCACGGCUAACUACGUG
rnacentral:rRNA from 1 species